rnacentral:rRNA from 1 species
GACGAACGCUGGCGGCGUGCUUAACACAUGCAAGUCGAACGGUAAGGCCCUGCUUUUGUGGGGUGCUCGAGUGGCGAACGGGUGAGUAACACGUGAGUAACCUGCCCUUGACUUUGGGAUAACUUCAGGAAACUGGGUCUAAUACCGGAUAGGAGCUCCUGCUGCAUGGUGGGGGUUGGAAAGUUUCGGCGGGUGGGGAUGGACCCGCGGCUUAUCAGCUUGUUGGUGGGGUAGUGGCUGACCAAGGCUUUGACGGGUAGCCGGCCUGAGAGGGUGACCGGCCACAUUGGGACUGAGAUACGGCCCAGACUCCUACGGGAGGCAGCAGUGGGGAAUAUUGCACAAUGGGCGGAAGCCUGAUGCAGCAACGCCGCGUGCGGGAUGCCGGCCUUCGGGUUGUAAACCGCUUUCGCCUGUGACGAAGCGUGAGUGACGGUAAUGGGUAAAGAAGCACCGGCUAACUACGUG